GCCUGGGUGGCUCAGUGGUUGAGCAUCUGCCUUUGACUCAGGGUGGGAUCCGGUCCUGGGAUCGAGUCCCACACCAGGCU
rnacentral:tRNA from 1 species